AGUUCCUGUUCGGUAACAGACUGCUUGAAUAUCCUCCUUGACAAGAUGUCUGGCCCAUCAGAGGACAUCCUGAAACACAGGACAACGUGUGUUAGCCAUGUCCCUAAGUGUGAAGUGUAGUGUUUGUGUGUGUGUGUGUGUGUGUGUGUGUGUGUGUGUGUGUGUGUGUGUGUGUGUGUGUGUGUGUGUGUGUCUGUGUGUGUGUGUGUGUGUGUGUGUGUGUGUGUGUGUGUGUGUCUGUGUGUGUGUGUGUGAGUGUGUGUGUGUGUGUGUGUGUGUGUGUGUGUGUGUGUGUGUGUGUGUGUGUGUCUGUGUGUGUGUCUGUGUGUGGGUGUGUGUGUGUGUCUUUGGUGUUCCUCAGGUGAUCUUGAAAUGUAGCUUUGGAAAGUGUUAUUAUGUAAUUCAAAUUAUUCAAUUUCAUUUGACAAAAAGUAUUAACGAUAUCCCAUUAUUUCAUCGUAUUACUAAGACAAUAAUAGUAAACUUGUUCGAACAGAGUAACUGCCUAAUAGUGCAAGGUUACAUUAAUUAUAUCUGCUUGAUAACUGCAGAAAAUAAUGUCGUCAGGUCUAUAAAAACCCUGACACGGUAGAUACAGUAUUUAUUAACACUUCUUCUCUGCAAUCGGAACUCUGCUGUACAAUUUACAUGAAGAGUACAUUCAGAUGCACAAGAUUACAAUUAGUGUGAGAGUGACAGUUGGUGGUUAUAGGAAACGUGCAUACAUGUAUAUUUAGAUGCCUCCUGUCGGCUUGGUUUUAUUCUUGGAGAAGUGAGGCUGUGGGAACAGGCUGUACACUUAGAGUAAGGAAGUCGAACAUGCUGCCGCUGUAGACUCUUUUGAAUAUGUUUUUAAAGUUAAGCACACGUUGUGCACACCAGCCACGCAAAGGCAAGGGAAAACACGCUGAGGAGAACACAGAUAAUAAGGUGCUGUAUGUGUUCGUGUUCACAUACAGCAUCCAGACAAAGGCAUUAUUUUUUCCGCAGGUCGUUAACAAAUGCUUCGAUCUGGGUCUCCCAUGAACCAAAGUACUAGUCAGAGGAUACAGACACGAAAGUAAGUACCAGCCAGAGGGCUGAGACUCUGGGCCAAAGCACAAAUGUAAUUUCUUCUGCUGCCUGUAACCCACAAAAUAUUUUGUCUUUGCUUUCACCUCACAAAAUCAGGUAUUUAGAGGCAGUGAUGCUGCUACAUAUGGCACUAGAUUUUCAUAUAGCCUACAUCUGGACAUAAUUGUGUCUAUAUUUCUCUUACUUUCAUCAUUACAUUUUUAUUUUUCGGUGAAUGCUGUGUACAGUGUGUGGGCUACACUCUAUUAUACUACCCUACUCUACUCUACUCUACUAUUCUACUAUACUCGAAAAGGGUGUAGAUGUGAUGGGCUAAUUGUGCGCCGACCAAAUCAUCCUGCAAAUGAUCAAACUACCCAUGAGUGAAGUCGCUCUGGGAUCCGGGUUGCCAUAGCAACACCAUCGCUGUGUGGAUCUGAUUGUUUAAUUAUGAAGAGGAAUUGGCGACUGUUGUCCUUUGUGACGGCGGCAUAUGUUUGGUCUGUGAGAAUGUCGCGGCUCUCGCUUUUUUCAAGUUUGACUAGCAUGCAUGCACAUUGCAGUACAACCGCCUCAAUUAACUUAAUUUAAGAUCAUCUAUUUUAUUUGUUCAUUCAUUUGCCCAUCACCAGAACUGUGGCUUCCAGCUGUCCCUGCCUCAUCAUCUACUCCCCCAAAUGUAAGGAAUCUCUGUUGACAGUUACAAAACCAAACAUAGUCCCCUUAACAAGCAAGACGCCAUUAGAUACAGUCUGCAGUCAGUAACACUAACAGGCAGUUACACUUGAGUAUCCAGUGCUUGGCGCGGCAGGGCGUUGUGACACUGGGUAUCCUAUUAAACACCAGCUGGCAUCGACAGGAAAGGAAGUAAACUAAGACUUAUUGCUUCUUUUAUUUGGAGAAAAUCUGCCUCGGAAGUCACAUGACUUUGUAGGUUAAUGUAUUCUCGACCGCUGUGUGUUUGUCUAUCUGUGUAUGUGCGUGUGCACGUGCAUGCGUGUGUGUGUGUGUGCGUGUGCAUUUGUGUGUGUCGGGCACGUGUACGUGCAUGCGUGUGUGUGUGUGUGUGUGUGUGUGCAUGCAUGCAUGUGUGUGUGUGUGUGUGUGUGCAUGCCUGCGUCACUCAGAUGUUACCCCUCCUCUGGGUUGCUUUCUCCUGCUGCUCCACCUUCCACAAAGGUCCCCAUCCGGCUCUUGGAAGGUUCCGGAUUCAGCUGGCUCUGGGUCCCUUUCCAGUGAGAGCACAUAGUGGUCAAGGAAGAGUUCCCCAUCCAGACAGCACUGACAACUGUCCCGCACGAGGUAGACAACAAUUGGGGAUGAGGAUACAUCCAGGAAAGACGAGGCAUCAAGUCGGUCACACAGCCUAACCAAGGAGCCAAGGCGGCUCUAAGGUUUCACCCCCUCCAUCCCCCUCACCCUGCCUCCCGAGCCGGGACACUCACCCAGGCCCCCCGCUCCCAGGAAGAUUCCUCCCACCGCGUCGGCGUCACACUCCCGGGACACGCCGAUGAUGAUGCAGCCGGCCACGAUGCAGAGAAGGGCCGAGCCCACCCUCAGCCCGUGGUACUCUCCCACGCUGACGGGGGUCAUCAACGCAGGCGGAGGAGAGCCUCCACCUGCCACCUCAGACGCGCACAGAAGGCACACGCGGGUGGAAAAGAACGAGAGACAUGCACACACGCACGCAAGCAGAAUCCACCACCACCACGCCACCGGAGACUCGACAGACUCUGUCUUACAGAAGGGCCCUAGGCUAGCGUCCACCGGCGGCUUUCGUGUGACUGACUGGCGCCCCCCCCCCAGCUCCUCCCUCUCUCCUCAUAAGACUCUCACUGAUGGAGGAACACUUUCUCCGGUGGCGCUUUGCAUUUCUCCGCGGCGCCACACUUCUCAUGCAUCUUUAAAAAGGCGGCGCUCUGGUUUCCAUCGCGCGACGAGAUUAAAAAGCUGGUGCCGCUGUCCUGCUCUCUCGCUCUGUCCCACACUCUCAUGACAGCGAUACAUGGUGUGGUGAAUCUGAUCACAGUUGACUGGCCCUCGUCCCACUGUACCGGACACAGGGGGCCGAGCUGUGGCGCUGGGGUACGUGGCAUCAUGGCCGCGCCGGCCACGACCGGUGUGGCGGCCUGGCCUACAUGGCCACGACGAGUAGGGUGCCCUACAUGGUCGUGACCAGUAUGGUGGCCUACAUGGUCACGACCAGUAUGGUGGCGCACAUGGUCACGAACAAGGUGCGCUGGCUGCAUCGGGGAACGAUGGAUGCUCACGGAUAGAGCCGGAAUGGUACUCUGUGAACCUGCCGCUCCGCUGCUCUGUGACCCUGCUGUCCUGCUGGUCUGCGAAACCUGCUGCUCUCUGUUAAUGGACUCAACAUUACGAUGUUUGAAUUGCUUUAAUAAAAAACACAUGGGAGAGAGAGAGAGAGAGAGGGGGGAGACAGAGGGGGGGGGGGAGAGAGAGAGAGGGAGAGAGAGAGGGGGAGAGAGAGAGAGAGAGAGAGAGAGAGAGAGAGAGAGAGAGAGAGAGAGAGCGAGAGGGGAGGUUGAGAGAGAUGGAGGAGCGAUAGAGAGUGACGUGAGAAAUGAGGAGCGAGGAGAGAGGGAGACGAGAGAGAAGGGAGAGAGAGGUGAGGGAGUAGGGGGGAGAUGGGGAUAGAUUGACAUCGCGAAAGGAGAGAGAAAGAUGGAGCGAGAGAGCAAAUGAGGAUGCAAGUGUAUGAGCUAGAAAGUGUGCACUACUUGUGUGAUGCGUCUGUGUGAAGGGAAUGUGUAAUGAAAGGUUCACAGAGUCUUCAGCGGUGGGGGCUGGAGGCCAUCCACAAAGGCCUGUGGUUGCCUAGGAAUAGCAUAUCCAUGGCAACAGAGGAGAUACGCGGGGUUAACUCCUGGUUGUAGAGGAACAUAUGAAGUUAGUAGGCGACUGUAGACAGGUUGCCUUUUCAACUUGUGAACUUUUGAGGAUCUUUCCAAAUACAUGUCGGCGGGUGUGCUGGUUUCGCUCGCUAUCUGCAAAAACUUUUCCAUUCAAACAUGAACAGCAGGUGUUGAUAUCCCAUCACCUCUACCCUCUGUGAAGUAAUUUUCCACAAGCGAAGACUGAGACAAGUACAGAAAAUCCUAAAACCGGUUGUCAGGUUGUCCCUACGUUCAACAGGGACAACCUGACUCACUGACAGUUGUCUCUCCCCGACAAACAGGCUUCUAAACCAGCAAGACAAAUUGAUCAUAUUGAUCACAUGAAUAUAUAACAGCUGAUCGUGUCACCUGUACAUUCAAUGUACAUUCCCUUAUUUUGACAGUGCAUAUUGAUCGGUCCACCUCCACUAUAUAUUUAUGAUAUUGAAUAUUUGUAUUCUUCAUUCAUGCUUCAUACUCUCCCUUCAUCUAUAACCACCAGGAUACAUAUGCUGUAUUCUCAUUAACAUUCUCUGGAUUUUGGUCAGAGUUUGAUUUCAAUUAUGUAUAUUUGUUGCUAGGCUAGCCAUAUUUCGUCUCUUUUUUGUGACCUCAAUUUGUCUACUUAUUUGUUGCUUGCUUGUCACAAGAAAUUGCACCGUUCAGAAUGACCAUGUGUUAGAUUGUACCUAUGAUAGUAUAGUAUAACAUUUUGAUUUUGAUACAGGCUGCUAGGUCACUCCUGCAUUUUAACUUUGUGUUAAAACCUUAGAAUACA